GACAGAGGAAACUCAUCAACAAGAGUCUGUACAGAGGGUUCAUCUCUCCCAGACCCUGGAAAUAUCUGAGAUUGGGUUCUACCUCUAACCUAAUGGGGCUUUCCCCCAAGGGGGUAGGGAGAGUUCCCAGAGAGUGGGGUUCAUGCACAGACACACUGGACAGGUGAGGGAGACAAAAUUCACACAUGACUGUAAUAAACAAUUUUAUUCACACAAUGCAAUAAGAAGGUUUUUUUUUUUUUUCACCAGAUCCCUCUAUUUUGAAGCCUCUAAAGAAAAUAAAUUAAAUUUCAUGUUAUGGACUCUGUAGAUUUAUCUUCUUUAGGUUUUAUAGAAUUGCUUGCUUUUUUUAAGAACUAGUCCCUCUUUG
rnacentral:lncRNA from 1 species